rnacentral:rRNA from 1 species
GUCUACCGCAAGACCACCCUGAACGCGCCCGAUCUCGGACGUUAAGAAGGGCCGGGCCUGGUUAGAACUUGAAUGGGAGACAGCGUCUCCUUUGAACGCUGUUUGGCUCCCAGGGCCCCCAGUACACG